GAUGAACGCUGGCGGCGUGCCUAAUACAUGCAAGUCGAGCGAACAGACGAGGAGCUUGCUCCUCUGACGUUAGCGGCGGACGGGUGAGUAACACGUGGAUAACCUACCUAUAAGACUGGGAUAACUUCGGGAAACCGGAGCUAAUACCGGAUAAUAUAUUGAACCGCAUGGUUCAAUAGUGAAAGACGGUUUUGCUGUCACUUAUAGAUGGAUCCGCGCCGCAUUAGCUAGUUGGUAAGGUAACGGCUUACCAAGGCAACGAUGCGUAGCCGACCUGAGAGGGUGAUCGGCCACACUGGAACUGAGACACGGUCCAGACUCCUACGGGAGGCAGCAGUAGGGAAUCCUCCGCAAUGGGCGAAAGCUUGACGGAGCAACGCCGCGUGAGUGAUGAAGGUCUUCGGAUCGUAAAACUCUGUUAUUAGGGAAGAACAAAUGUGUAAGUAACUAUGCAUGUCUUGACGGUACCUAAUCAGAAAGCCACGGCUAACUACGUG
rnacentral:rRNA from 1 species